rnacentral:rRNA from 1 species
GACGAACGCUGGCGGCGUGCUUAACACAUGCAAGUCGAGCGGUAAGGCCUCUUCGGGGGUACACGAGCGGCGAACGGGUGAGUAACACGUGGGUGACCUGCCCUCAGCUCUGGGAUAAGCCUGGGAAACUGGGUCCAAUACCGGAUAUGACCUUUCCUCGCAUGGGGUUUGGUGGAAAGUUUUUUCGGCUGGGGAUGGGCCCGCGGCCUAUCAGCUUGUUGGUGGGGUGAUGGCCUACCAAGGCGACGACGGGUAGCCGGCCUGAGAGGGCGACCGGCCACACUGGGACUGAGACACGGCCCAGACUCCUACGGGAGGCAGCAGUGGGGAAUAUUGCGCAAUGGGCGGAAGCCUGACGCAGCGACGCCGCGUGGGGGAUGACGGCCUUCGGGUUGUAAACCUCUUUCGACCCCGACGAAUUUGGACGGUAGGGGUAGAAGAAGCACCGGCCAACCACGUG